rnacentral:rRNA from 1 species
ACGGGUCGCUUACAACCAUUACGCCAGCAUCCUAGCCGAAGCGCGGACCUCAGUCCCGGCUGGCCGUAUUACACCCUGGGCUAUAACACCUCCACCGAAGUGGAGGCCACAUUCCCAGAGCCUUUAUCCGGCCGCCGAAACUGAUGCUGGCCUGUCCAAACUGAGUAAACCGGUCAGAAGACCGGCCGAACAGUUUAAACAAGUCUGAUUGCAAGCGCUUCCCUUUCAACAAUUUCACGUGCUUUUUAACUCUCUUUCCAAAGUGCUUUUCAUCUUUCGAUCACUCUACUUGUGCGCUAUCGGUCUCUCGCCAAUAUUUAGCUUUAGAAGAAAUUUACCUCCCAUUUAGAGCUGCAUUCCCAAACAACUCGACUCGUCGAAGGAGAUUUACAUAGGGUGCCAUUUCCUGUCACAUACGGGAUUCUCACCCUCUAUGACGUCCUGUUCCAAGGAACUUAGACAGGCGGCUUCCCCAAAUCAUCCUCUACAAAUUACAAUGCGAACCCGAAGGCUAGCUUUCAAAUUUGAGCUGUUGCCGCUUCACUCGCCGUUACUAGG